GACGAACGCUGGCGGCGUGCUUAACACAUGCAAGUCGAACGGACAGGCCCUGCUUUCGUCGGCUGCCCGAGUGGCGAACGGUUGAGUCACACGUGGGUAACCUGCCCUUGACUUUGGGAUAACUUCUAGAACCUCGGGUUACUACCGGGUAGAAGCCCCUGCUCCCCGGCGGGGGUUGGUAAGUUUCGGUGGUUGGGGAUGGACUCGCGGCUUAUCAGCUUGUUGGGUGGGUAGUGGCUUACCAAGGCUUUGACGGGUAGCCGGCCUGGGAGGGGGACCGGCCACAUUAGGACUGAGAUACGGCCCAGACUCCUACGGGAGGCAGCAGUGGGGAAGAUUGCACAAUGGGCGGAAGCCUGAUGCAGCAACGCCGCGUGCGGGAUGACGGGCUUCGGGUUGGAAACCACUGUCGCCUGUGACGAAGCGUGAGUGACGGUAAUGGGUGAAGAAGCACCGGCUAACUACGUG
rnacentral:rRNA from 1 species